GACGAACGCUGGCGGCGUGCUUAACACAUGCAAGUCGAACGGAAAGGCCCUACUUUUGUGCGGUGCUCGAGUGGCGAUCGGGUGAGUAACACGUGUGUAACCUGCCCUUGACUUUGGGAUAACUUCAGGAAACUGGGGCUACUACCGGAUAGGAGCUCCUGUUCCAGGGUGAGGGUUGGAAAGUUUCGGCGGUUGGGGAUGGACUCGCGGCUUAUCAGCUUGUUGGUUGGGUAGUGGCUGACCAAGGCAUUGACGGGUCGCCGGCAUGUGAGGGGGGCCGGGCACCAUGGGACUGAGGGACGGCCCAGAGUCGUACGGGGGGCAGUAGGGGGGAAUAUUGCACAGUGGGCGGAAGCCUGAUGCAGAAGCGCCGCGUGCGGGAUGACGGCCUGCGGGUUGUGAACCGCUUUCGCCUGUGACGAAGCGUGAGUGACGGUAAUGGGUAAAGAAGCACCGGCUAACUACGUG
rnacentral:rRNA from 1 species